rnacentral:ncRNA from 1 species
UGACCAAGCCCGAGUGACUGUUUACCAAAAACACAKGUCUCCGCAAAGUCGUAAGACCAUGUAUGGGGGCUGACGCCUGCCCCGUGCCAGAAGGUCAAGGAAUUUGGUGAACUGAUGACAGGGAAGCCGGCGACCGAAGCCCCGGUGAACGGCGGGCAUAACUAUAAUGGUCCUAAGGUAGCGAAAUUCCUUGUCAGUUAAGUUCUGACCCGCAAGAAAGGCGUAACGAUCUGGGC